rnacentral:rRNA from 1 species
GACGAACGCCGGCGGCGUGCUUAACACAUGCAAGUCGAGCGAUGAAGCACCUUCGGGUGUGAAUUAGCGGCGAACGGGUGAGGAACACGUGAGAAAUCUGCCUUCAACACUGGGAUAACUCCGGGAAACCGGGGCUAAUACCGGAUAUGAAACCUGCGGGCAUCCGCGGAUUUGGAAGGUUUUUCGGUUGAAGAUGAUCUCGCGGCCUAUCAGCUUGUUGGUGAGGUAAUGGCUCACCAAGGCGACGACGGGUAGCCGGCCUGAGAGGGCGACCGGCCACACUGGGACUGAGACACGGCCCAGACUCCUACGGGGGGCAGCAGUGGGGAAUAUUGGGCAAUGGAGGAAACUUUGACCCAGCGACGCCGCGUGCGGGAUGAAGGCCUUCGGGUUGUAAAGCUCUUUUACCCGGGAUGAUAAUGACAGUACCGGGAGAAUAAGCCCCGGCUAACUCCGUGCCAGCCGCCGCGGUAA